UACGGAGGGGGCUAGCGUUGUUCGGAAUUACUGGGCGUAAAGCGCACGUAGGCGGACCAGCAAGUUAGGGGUGAAAUCCCGGGGCUCAACCCCGGAACUGCCUUUAAAACUGUUGGUCUGGAGGUCGAGAGAGGUGAGUGGAAUUCCGAGUGUAGAGGUGAAAUUCGUAGAUAUUCGGAGGAACACCAGUGGCGAAGGCGGCUCACUGGCUCGAUACUGACGCUGGAGGUGCGAAAGCGUGGGGAGCAAACAGG
rnacentral:rRNA from 1 species